UUCCUGGUGGUCCAGUGGUAAGACGCCACAGUCCCAAAGCAGGGGGCCUGGGUUCGAUCCCUGGUCAGGAAA
rnacentral:tRNA from 1 species